CACUGAGGAAGUUAUCUUUUUGAAAACAACAACUUUUGAAAAACAAGCUGGUGUCAGCAAUUGAAUAUUGAGCUAAAUUUAAUUCAGCAACAUUAAUAUAAAGAAGUGAAAGACUUAUAAUGGUAGUGUAAAAUGUCUUGAAAUUCUGUCAGCAUGAAGUAUUGUGUGAUGAAAACAAUGUGUUUUUUACUGCAAUGUGGAAAUCAAUAAUAAGUUGGUUGGAAAGGGGGUUGAACUGCCUGUUGUUGUUUUUGGAAUACUGAAGAACAGUUUUAACAGGUUAAACUCUUGCCACAAGGCAAAAUUGACAUCGAUGGGAAGAUCCUUUGGAAAGAAUGUGCAUCAUCGCCUGCCUGAUGUAUGGACUUUUAAACCUGGUUUUUACCCUGCACAAGCUGGCAAACUUGAGGGGAACAAGAGUGGGAAAACCUCGCCCUGUCCUUGACCAAGAAAGCUCGAUUUGUUGAGAGAUCAACUGGCAUAAGAGAUGCUCAAGAGGAGAAGGACACAAGCAGCAUCAAUGGUACAACUACAUGUCGCUCCAGCGCCCGCUUUCCAGGUCGCUACCAGCUGCUUUCCAGGUCCCUCCACCCGCCAAGAUCAGGUCUAGGUCCCUGCACUGGCUGCUUUCCAGGUCCCCUAGCGGUCAAGGUCUCUCCAGUAGCUGCUGUGCAGGUCCCAACACCGUAUGCCGUCAAGGUCCCUCCAUAAGCUGAAAUCCAGGUUCCU